AUUGAACGCUGGCGGCAGGCCUAACACAUGCAAGUCGAGCGGAUGAAGGGAGCUUGCUCCUGGAUUCAGCGGCGGACGGGUGAGUAAUGCCUAGGAAUCUGCCUGGUAGUGGGGGAUAACGUCCGGAAACGGGCGCUAAUACCGCAUACGCCCUGAGGGAGAAAGUGGGGGAUCUUCGGACCUCACGCUAUCAGAUGAGCCUAGGUCGGAUUAGCUAGUUGGUGGGGUAAAGGCCUACCAAGGCGACGAUCCGUAACUGGUCUGAGAGGAUGAUCAGUCACACUGGAACUGAGACACGGUCCAGACUCCUACGGGAGGCAGCAGUGGGGAAUAUUGGACAAUGGGCGAAAGCCUGAUCCAGCCAUGCCGCGUGUGUGAAGAAGGUCUUCGGAUUGUAAAGCACUUUAAGUUGGGAGGAAGGGCAGUAAGUUAAUACCUUGCUGUUUUGACGUUACCAACAGAAUAAGCACCGGCUAACUUCGCG
rnacentral:rRNA from 1 species